ACUUUUACUUUGUACUUGUACCACAGAAUAACUAACCAUACAUAUGGUUAACUAUGGUAUAACUAACCAUACAUAUGGUUAGUUAUUCUGUGCUUGUACUAUAAUAACAAAUACUAUGGACAGUCAAUAGUAUUUGAUUAUACCUAAUAACGUUAUAAUCUAUAUCUGAAGUGCUAGCAAAAGACCGUUCUGGAGUUUUUAAAAAUUUAUUUACAAAGUGAUUUUAUUUGUGUAAACAUAAAACUGAAAUAAUUGACAAAUAAAAUGGAAGUGAAACAAGAAGCUAGUAGUGAGCAAACUUGUAAAACAGAAACAGAUAAUGAAACCUAUGAUGAUGGUCUUUUGGAUGUCUUCAAAAUUGAAGUUAAAGAAGAACCUAAGACUGAAAGUGUAUACGAGGAUUAUGUGGUAGUCUUAAAAACUGAAGCAGAACAAGAUGAACAUAAAUUUACACCAUUUGAAGAGAAGCAAACAGCAAAUGAAAAAAGUUAUUCUCAAGAGGAGAGCAAAUUGGAAAUUAUGGAGACACUACCUAAACAUUUAUCUGAUGAAGGAAAAGCAUUUACUCAAAAUAUGACUGUUGCGACUGGACAGAGACCUUACGAAUGCGAAGUUUGUUUUAAGAAGUUUUCUCGAAAUGAGCGCUUAAAAAAUCAUUUGAGAGUGCACACAGGGAAAAAACCAUACAAGUGUGAAACUUGCUUAAAACAGUUUCGUACUACAAGUGAAUUGAAAACACAUUCGAGAACGCACACUGGAGAAAAACUUCACAAGUGCGAGAUUUGUUUUAAGCAAUUUAAUCAAGCAGGUUAUUCUCAAGAGGAGAGCAAAUUGGAAAUUAUGGAGAGACUACCUAAACAUUUAUCUGAUGAAGGAAAAGCAUUAACUCAAAAUAUGACUGUUGCGACUGGACAGAGACCUUACGAAUGCGAAGUUUGUUUUAAGAAGUUUUCUCGAAAUGAGCGCUUAAAAAAUCAUUUGAGAGUGCACACAGGGAAAAAACCAUACAAGUGUGAAACUUGCUUAAAACAGUUUCGUACUACAAGUGAAUUGAAAACACAUUCGAGAACGCACACUGGAGAAAAACUUUACAAGUGCGAGAUUUGUUUUAAGCAAUUUAAUCAAGCAGGUUAUUCCCAAGAGGAUAGCAAAUUGGAAAUGAUGGAGACACUACCUAAACAUUCAUCUGAUGAAGGAAAAGCAUUAACUCAAAAUAUGACUGUUGCGACUGGACAGAGACCGUACGAAUGCGAAGUUUGUUUUAAGAAGUUUUCUCGAAAUGAGCGCUUAAAAAAACAUUUAAGAGUGCACACAGGGAAGAAACCAUACAAGUGUAAAACUUGCUUAAAACAGUUUCGGGUUCCAACGGAUUUGAAAGUACAUUUAAGAGUGCACACUGGAGAAAAACCAUACAAGUGUGAAACUUGCUUAAAACAGUUUCUUACUUCAAGUGAUUUGAGAGUACAUUUGAGAGUGCACACUGGGGAAAAACCAUACAAGUGUGAAACUUGCUUAAAACAGUUUCGUACUACAAGUGAAUUGAAAACACAUUCGAGAACGCACACUGGAGAAAAACUUUACAAGUGCGAGAUUUGUUUUAAGCAAUUUAGUCAAACAAGUAAUUUGAAAACACAUUUGAGAGUGCAUACUGGGGAAAAACCAUACAAGUGCGAGAUUUGUUUUAAGCAAUUUAGUCAAACAAGUAAUUUGAAAACACAUUUGAGAGUGCAUACUGGGGAAAAACCAUAUAACUGUGAGAUUUGUUUUAAACAGUUUAGUGAGGCAGGCCCUUUGAAAACACAUUUGACAGUGCACACUGGGGAAAAACCUCACAAGUGUGAAAUUUGUUUGAAGCAAUUUAGUCAAGCAAUUAGUUUGAAAACACAUUUGAGAGUGCACACUGGGGAAAAACCUUACAAGUGUGAAAUUUGUUUUAAACAGUUUAGUGAGGCAAGCCAUUUGAAAAGACAUUUAAGAGUGCACACUGGAGAUAAACCAUACAAGUGCGAGAUUUGUUUAAAACAGUUUCGUACUACAAGUAAUUUGAAAACACAUUUGAGAGUGCACCCUGAAGAAAAACCUUACAAGUGCGAGAUUUGCUCUAAGCAGUUUUCUCAGAAUGGUCAUUUGAAACGUCAUAUGAAAGUACAUACUAGAAGAGAUCUUGACGAGAACACGUCGGAACAUCAUUAACGAGAACACGUCCAUAUAAUAAUAUAAAUAAUAGACAGCUGGGACAAAUCGAGGGAAGCAAUCCAAACAACAUGCGCAACUAUAUUAAAGCGUGACAGACAACAAGAAAGAAUGGAUGUAUGGUGAGAUCAUGGAUAUGAUGCAUCUUUUUCUUUGGGUGUCGUCUUCUUAGCGAAGGUUGGCGAUGACUUCUGCAGUCUUCUCUAUUUUGGACUUCCAUAAUAAGUUGAAGGAAGUUAUACCUGUCGUGUCUAAAUAUGUGUCCAAGGUUAUUCCCAAGAGGAGAGCAAAUUGAAAAUGAUGGAGACACUAUCUAAACAUUCAUCUGAUGAAAGAAAUUAUAUGAGUCAACAGGAUGAAGGAAAAGCAUUAGAUCAAAAUAUGACUGUUGCGACUGGACAAGAAUCUUAGAAAUGUGAAGAUUGUUUUAAGACGUUUUCUCGAAAUGAGCG
rnacentral:misc_RNA from 1 species